rnacentral:ribozyme from 14 species
AGACAGAAGAGAAAGAAGAAGAAAGAGAAAAAAAUGUUAUUUGUGAUAAAGUACCUGUGUAUGUGUGUACGUUGUGUUCCUUUCUUUCACGUUGUUUUU